CGGACGGGUGAGUAAUGUCUGGGAAACUGCCCGAUGGAGGGGAUAACUACUGGAAACGGUAGCUAAUACCGCAUAACGUCGCAGGACCAAAGAGGGGGACCUUCGGGCCUCUUGCCAUCGGAUGUGCCCAGAUGGGAUUAGCUAGUAGGUGGGGUAACGGCUCACCUAGGCGACGAUCCCUAGCUGGUCUGAGAGGAUGACCAGCCACACUGGAACUGAGACACGGUCCAG
rnacentral:rRNA from 1 species